CCAAGCGGGCGGCGGCGGGGCCAGGCCGGGCGCCGGGCGGGAGCCAAGGCCGCCGUGGACCCCGCAAUCCCGCAGCCGGCGACUGGAGCCCACCUCUGCAGAGACAAAGAAACACCUUCCCCCACAGUCCCGAGCUAGAGGAGAAGCAGACGUUCUGGAUCCUCUCUAAAUGCCUUCAUUUUAAGUCCCCACUAAGGACAAUUCUCGCUUUUAUGGAAUUUAAUUUGGUUUUCUCCCUUGCCCCCAAAAAGGUUUGUCCAUUGAAAAGCCUGGUCAGUGGUCAGUGCAAUAUGGAAGAGAAGAGGAUAUCCAUUUGUUUAGGAAAAGCCUGGCUACCCCAAUCAGCUUAGGGGAAAAAAUUCUUUUUUUCCCCCCUCAAAGGCAGGAACCACAUUCCCGUUGCAUUUCUGAUAGGAGCUGCUCUGAGUGAACCCCCUCUGGAAGUGAAUGUCCUUGGCUGGCCUUCUGCAUUCUCUUCGUCAUUAAUGCAUAGGCAUGACCAUCCAGGCUUCAGAAUCCACCAGAAAGAGGUCAGCGAACACCACAGCCACGGCCUUUUCCCCGAAUGGAAAGGGAGAUGGUGCUUUGACUCUGGACCGACCAGUGCCAACAUUUCCCAGAUAGGUAAAGCUGCAGCACACAGCCCAGUCAAGGCGGGGCUGGGAGCAACUCAGGCUCAAAGCUAUAGGAUUCCAUUUUCUUACCUGUGCAAUAAAAGCCACUCUGGAAAUAAAGACGGGCUCCUUAAAAAUGAACACAUCUCAGAAAAAUCAGUGAGCUCUUCAGUGUUCACAAAAUAAAGGUGCUUUCUCUUUUGCGUGGAAAAAUUGUUAGCUAACUUGAAUUUCUUUUCACCGCCUCCCCCUCCUUGCCCCUUAAAAUGGCAGCUGCAGGAGCAGCCUCUAUGGAAAAUGAAUAUCAUUUUAAUAACAGACCCCAAACCCCAACAUCGGCGCGGGCUCAGCAGUGUAAGCUUUGGUGUAAGCUGGGCUCUGGGUCGUGCCCCACUGGGCCUACAACUCUAGUCCUUUGCAAAGUUCAAAGCUUUCACCGUAUCUUAGCAGGAUUAUUUGGAGCAAGCAGC
rnacentral:lncRNA from 1 species